rnacentral:lncRNA from 1 species
UGGAACUCUGGCUUUAUCCCUGGCCGGCGCCUCCCGGCCAAUCCCAGCUGAGGCUGCCUGUGUGUCACAAUGGGGCGCCUGUGGCGUCACGCUGGCCCGCCCCACCCCGUGUGCUCGUCUGGAACCGCCCGUCCUACUUGCUGCCCCAUCGCGAGAGUCCUUCCUCUCCAGUUCGGUCCACCACCUGCCCCCAUGCUCGAUCCUCUGUGGAACCAGGAGCUGUCCCACACCUUAUAGAGGCAUACCUGGGAUGACGGACAAUGACUUGCCCGGGAUCACUUUGCCAAUUGGAAAGGAGGAAAAGUCCCACACCCGUGGCGCUGUCUCCGGAGGGUGCUGCGUCCAAGAGGCCCACCCGCAGGGAUGAGCCUGAGUGCGCGAAUCCAAGCACGAGAAGGGAGCUGGGAAUCUCCCGGUGGCUGGGGACCCCUGCUCCUUCUAGAGCCUCUGCCUCUAGGUCUUUAAUAAAGUAUAUACAAUGUGGCGAUCACAGGGCACGCCCUAAGAAACCUGCACACUAACCUCCCUCUCAGACACUGCUUCUGGAGAGCCCAACCUGUGACCGCUGGGUCAGGAGGGGUCUGAGGAAGAAGAUGCUAAGAUGGGAUUCUGGCUCUGGAUCACCCACUGCCUAGCUGCUGAUAAGGAUCCUUUUGCUGGGGGUAGAUGGAGCGGGUACAUGCCCCCGCACAGAGCAGAGGAUGCCAAGAAAACACAGUGAGGAAAGGAUUAUCUCUUCAGUGUUGGGAAAACUGGAUAUCCACAUGCAGAAGAAUGAAACUGGAACUUUACCUCACAUUAUGUACAAAAAUCAACUAAAAAUAGAUUAAAGACAAAAACCUAAGACUGGAGACUACAAAACUAUUAGAAGAAGAAAACACAGGGGUAAGCUUCUUGACAUUGACCUGGGUAAUGAUUUUUUUGGACACGACACUAAAAGCACAAGCAAAAAGGCAAAAAUAGACAAGUGGACUGCAUCAAACUGAAAAGCUUCUGCACAGCAAAGGAAACAAAAGAGUGGAA